GACGAACGCUGGCGGCGUGCUUAACACAUGCAAGUCGAACGGAAAGGCCCUGCUUUUGUGGGGUGCUCGAGUGGCGAACGGGUGAGUAACACGUGAGUAACCUGCCCUUGACUUUGGGAUAACUUCAGGAAACUGGGGCUAAUACCGGAUAGGAGCUCCUGCCGCAUGGUGGGGGUUGGAAAGUUUCGGCGGUUGGGGAUGGACUCGCGGCUUAUCAGCUUGUUGGUGGGGUAGUGGCUUACCAAGGCUUUGACGGGUAGCCGGCCUGAGAGGGUGACCGGCCACAUUGGAACUGAGAUACGGCCCAGACUCCUACGGGAGGCAGCAGUGGGGAAUAUUGCACAAUGGGCGGAAGCCUGAUGCAGCAACGCCGCGUGCGGGAUGACGGCCUUCGGGUUGUAAACCGCUUUCGCCUGUGACGAAGCGUGAGUGACGGUAAUGGGUAAAGAAGCACCGGCUAACUACGUG
rnacentral:rRNA from 1 species